rnacentral:lncRNA from 1 species
UUUUCUCUCCCUUUGUGGGAAAUAUCCCACAGCAUUAUUUGUACAUAUAUGUAAAUAGUUGGGAGUAACAAGUUCAGUAUCAUAAACUACUUAUUAACAAUAAAUAAGUAAUAAAAGAAGAAAUAGAAGAGAUACGAGUGAAGCGAAACGUGUUUGACUCGGGUGGUUCGAUCAACCGCGGGUGGAGGCUACGAGGAAGGUGAGGUGCUCGUGGGGAGUUAGUUACACUCCAACCGCCAAGGACUUUACAUUAACAAGAAGAAAGUGGUGUGCAAAUAUCUGGACAUUACGAGUACGUACACGUGGAUGUACUGCAGUGGAUAUACUUCAGUUGCAGUGUGCAGACAGAGAGCUGAUAAUACGACGAUCCAGUCCACGGAGUAAACUACGUCCGCUGCCCUAAUGAAACCACUGGCCAGUGGGUUGGAUUGGGGGACUUAAGGGUUUGCGUUACGAGGCAGAACAUACACUCAACAACAAGGUUGUUGGAUAAUCCUCACCACUAUCGAUGGCCCACUGACAACCAGGUCUGGGAACAUGUAAGGGUUGUUGGAUAAUCCUCACCAAUAUCGAUGGCCCACUGACAACCAGGUCUGGGAACAUGUAAGGCGGCCCACUCCAGCCUCCUCGCCGGGUCUGCCACACGCCACCACAGAUAAAGACAUUCAUUCGGCCCCCUCACACUUCGAUACUACGACCCACAGCUUGGAAAUCCAUCUCACAAUCACGUGGACUGUAUGAAGCAAAGAAGACACGCGGAACUCCCUGCUUAGAGGACGUGAAGGCAGAGAAGCGUGCAGGGUCAUAAAACAGGGGGAUGCGAGGUAUGGUAUGAGGCAGGGGAGGGAGAGGACAUGGGUCAAGCGAGGAGCUCAGCCCUCACUCACUCUCCCAAGGGGGUACUGGCGCAGCAGGGGAGCAAACUUCACGCUACGUUAUUUUCGCGUUGAUUCCCAAGACCAGUGUUUCAGUUCCCCUUCGAGUGACUGCAAGGCGGACGGGCGGAAGUGCGGAGGGCGGUGGUGGGAGUGUAUGGGAUGGCCAGGGAAGGGCAGAGAAGGACACGUGAUGAUUGGAAUGAUAAAUGAGGCGCCGGCAACUCAAGACUCAGGUUCAGUCGGUCGUAAACGCACCAGCGAUCCACAAGGAGCUGGGGACAGGUGGCUUAAACGACGACGAGAGGAGGGAGGAGGAGGAGGAGGGAAGAGGAGAAGGUGAAGUCUCCUCGGGUGCAGCGGCGGGGCAGCGCUGGAACACAGGUGCGACCAACAAGGGAGGCUACCUGACGGACCCACAACGCUUGGCCGAAGAGAAACAGAAGCGAGGGGAAGGACUGAAGGACAAGAGAGGGUCGGAGAGUGAAAGGAUGAUGUAAACACACACACACACACACACACACACACACACACACACACACACACACACACACACACACACUUUAAACUUACGGACGGAUAUGAUGCAGGAAGUGACACAGUAAAAUAUAUACAGAGAGAGAGAGAGAGCUUUAAAACUGUCCAUUCAUUCAACUACUAUUUUUCUUCUCUCAUUCUUUCCACUUUCUGUAACUUUUUUUUGCAAGAUGGAGAGGGAAAAUUGAGUUCAUAACCAGGAAAGUGAAGCCAAAGGGGGAAUAAAGUUGCACCAUC